rnacentral:rRNA from 1 species
CCAGACUCCUACGGGAGGCAGCAGUGGGGAAUAUUGCACAAUGGGGGAAACCCUGAUGCAGCGACGCCGCGUGAGUGAAGAAGUAUUUCGGUAUGUAAAGCUCUAUCAGCAGGGAAGAAAAUGACGGUACCUGACUAAGAAGCCCCGGCUAACUACGUGCCAGCAGCCGCGGUAAUACGUAGGGGGCAAGCGUUAUCCGGAUUUACUGGGUGUAAAGGGAGCGUAGACGGCGAAGCAAGUCUGAAGUGAAAACCCAGGGCUCAACCCUGGGACUGCUUUGGAAACUGUCAGGCUGGAGUACAGGAGAGGUAAGCGGAAUUCCUAGUGUAGCGGUGAAAUGCGUAGAUAUUAGGAGGAACACCAGUGGCGAAGGCGGCUUACUGGACGGCAACUGACGCUGAGGCUCGAAAGCGUGGGGAGCAAACAGGAUUAGAUACCCUAGUA